UCUUACAUAUGUUAUCUCAUCUAAUUCUUACAAUAAUUCUAUGAGGGAAAUGCUGCUAUUAUUCUCAAUUUACAGAAAAGGAAAUGGAUCCUGAGUAGAUGGUGAAUAGGACAGAGUACUGGACCUAGAACUAGAAAGUUCAAAUCUGGUAUAACUAGCUGUGUGAUUCUGGACAAGUCAUUUAAUCCUUUUUGCCUUAGCUUCCUCGACUAUAAAAAUGAGGAUAACAAUAGCCCCUAGCUAAAAAAAAGUUGUGAGGAUCAAAUGAGAUAUUUAUAAAAUGCUCAGCAAAGUGCCUAGCACAUAGUAAACAUCAUAUAAAGAUUUAUUUCCUUUCCCUUCCCCCUACUUAACUGACUUUUUUCCCAAUGUUUUUCCAGAACUCAUCAUUGUCUUUUCACUUUGGAAAUCCAUAUGAAUGAUGUCUAUAUUUACCCUAAUUCUGAGUGAAAAUUGGGGUAUUGAUGGGAAGGAGGUAGAGCAUGUCUAGGACAAGUUUAUUUAGCUAGUCAGUCAUGAAUGAGUAUAGAUGUAAAUGCUAGAAAUUCCUUUUCCCAGAAAGUGGCUCAUUUGUCUUGCUACUGCCCCAUGGCCCUUCUAAGUUAUGAAAAGUGGAAGUUGUCUAUCAUAAACACUUUAGUAUACUUCUCUCCUUAGCAUGAUGUAUUUGGAUAAGCUAGGGUGGAGUUCUGCCCUCUUCCCUUCCCCUACUACAUUCCCAUGAGAAUUGCCUUCUCCCAGAGUCAACUACUUCCUACUAUGGGGUGACAUUACUUGGGCUCUUCACUUCCUCCCCUGCUACUGACUAGCCUAGAAUCCCCAUGAUAGGACAGUCAGGUCUGGUUACUUUUCUCUAGGUGUUGGGAAUAGAGGAUCUGGGUGGAAUGGGAAGAUGGGGCCUCAGAGCAUCCCAGUAGAAGCCUUCUCUAACUAAAUAAGGACUACUCUCUUCUCCAAACAACUCAACUAGCAGUUAUCAUGGAUACAGCAACUGAAUUAUCUCCAAAACCCAUUGAAUGGCUUCAUCAUUUCUUCAUCCUACUGGUCCCAUCUCUUCUAUUGAUUCAAUUCUAUCAAUUUUAACCAGCAUCAUCAAUGGCUGUCCAUUGGAUUCUGGCUAUUGACAAGUCCUUCCUCUAGUUAAGUCUCUUUGUUUUUCUUUCUAUCUACCUCUGGCCCAAUGGGCUACAGUUCUGCCUUAACCUCUAAACCUCCAAUUUGGGUAAACAGAACCAAGGUUAAAAUAAGCCUUGGAAACCAUAAAAUUUUAUUGCCUCUCCCCUCCUGGGACUUCAACAUAAGGCCCCACACUAGUCUUCUAAUGAUUAACUUUGUGGAAAGACUGCUGAAAAAUUUCUUCCACUCUUAUAGGGCUUGUUAUUGAAACCAAAGUAGGAGUUUUUAGGGCUGGGUCAAAUGGAGAGAGAGAUAAUGGGGAGGACACUGCAUUUCUACUCCACUCUUACCUCUUAUACCUUAAUUCUUAUUUUGGUUUCUAAGUUAGUAAUGUGGGCAAAGAAUCAUAGAAUGGAAGAGUAGGAAGGAACCUCUGAGAUAAUGUAGUCUAAAUAAUGUAGUCCAGCCCAUUUAUUUCACAGAUGAGGAAAGGAGCACACCUAGAGGUUUUAGAUCCAUAUGGAACUCAAAUAAUUUUCUGAUCAGCAGAAAUUAGAGACUAGCUACAACUCUAUGAAGGUCACCUAUUCCUUUUCCAAUAUACUUAGAGGAGACCAGGUUGGGAUCAUGCAUAACUAUUGCUGGGAAAAACAAUCUAGCUAGAAGACAUUCCCCUCUCCACCCCCAAAUCCAAAGUCCUUUGAAGUCUAGGUGGGGCAACAGAAUAUUCUUUUCCCCACCCCAUUCCCCAGCUUGAAAGGGGAGGAGGAGAGAAGGAAUACAUGGAUCAGAAGGGAAAGUGGGGCACUCCUCAGGGUAGGAUCUCUCCCUUCUUAUCUUCUAGACAAUCCUUGAGUUGCUGCCUGAUCAGAGCAGAAGGAGACAUCUAAUGCCUGGUGAGAGACAGUAAUCCUCAGCAAGAACCUGUCAGGAGAAUGAUCCUGCAGCAGGAAGGCUGGCCCCUCUAAUGCUUCUUUUGGAAGAUGCCCCUCUGAUAUUUAACUUUGUGCCAUCAUGACCCAGAGCUAGAAGGGACAUCAGAUGGCAUCUCUUCCUCAUUUUACAGAUCAGGAAGUUGAAGACUUAAAUUUGGGAUACUUUUCCCCCAAAAGGGCUAUAUCUUGCUCAUUUAAAUCACAGGGAUGGUAAGAGAAGACCAUGAUAUCACAUUUAGGAACAGGUUCUAUGGGUUUCUGGUUUGUUUACACAUCUCCCCUUCCCAUCAUCCCCUUUUUUUCUUCCAUUGUCCCCCCAGGGGAGGAGGGCAUAACAGCAGUCCCAUUUUACAGAUGGCAAAGAGAGUAAAUGGUUCAGCUAGGCUCAUCCAGCACAUUCAGCGCUAGAUUCAGGACCAGUAUCCAGAUCUGACCUUCCUGUGCUUUGGACUCAAAUUAUUUUUAAAAGUGGAAAAAAAAAUCAGAAAGCCUAUCAUCUCAAUUUUCACAUGGCCACUAAUUAAUGUUACAAUAGCAUUUGAGGAGCUCUCUGGGCCUUGAGGUUGUCCGUUGGAUGGGAUUAGACUAGGUGACCAAGGUAUUUCUGACAGCCUGUGAUUGGCACUUAGGCUUACUGUGGCAGUAAGUAAUAAAACCUCAUAAACAAACGGAACAUGGGGAGAGUUGAGGGCAGCCCAGAAAGUUUAAGAACAAAGGCUGAGAUGGAGGAGAGCCUGCCUACCAGAGGCCCACCAGAGAGAGAAGGACCUGGGACAUCAGCCAUCAGCAAUCUAAAGGCCCCAAAGAACAGGAAGUCGUGCCUCCUGGAGUGACGAUGUCUAUCUUCAGGACCCUUGGCCUGCAAGGGAAAAUAUACCACAAAGACGCAAAACUUUCCAUGACCCACUGACAAAAAUAUGAGACUGACUGCUCCGACAGAUGAAGAAGCAUUUACUGCAAACCAGCACAGCUCUGAGUGCAGUGGGACAAAAGGUCACUUGGAAACCCAAGGAUCUGAGUUUGCUUUUUAACCCUUUCUCUGACUAUCGCCUUUCUCACUGAGUCACCAGUUUGAAUCAACACACAAUUUGGGCAAAAGUUAGAGGCAGAAUCCUAACUUAUACUAUUAAUAGGAAGCUAUUGAGAUGGGAAUGGAAGUGUUUGGACCUUUGAGCAAAAAGAGGGAUCUUAGAAUCCUGGCUCCCUUCUCACUGAGGACUCAACGAGGCCUGCUUCCCUUUCCCCUUCCCCUGGUAGAGCCUUAAUAAAAAUUGACUAAUUUGAUUUAACUGGAUUCUAGGAUAGGUCUAUUGGUAUCAGAUUGACUUCAAACAUGCACUAAUCCAAUUAGGGGCGAUGUUAUUGCUAUUCAGCUAAUUUUUAGUCAUGACUGUCUCUUUGUGACCUCUUUGGGCUUUUCUUGGUAAGAAUACUGAACCAGUUUGCCAUUUCCUUUUCCAGCUCAUUUUACAGAUGAGGAAAUAGAGGCAGGGUCACAUAUCUUGAAAAUGUUUGAAGGUAGAUUUGAGCUCUGAGAGGAGUCUUCCUGACCCCAGGCUUGGCACUCCAUCCACCACACCACUUAGCUGCCCCUUGGGAUGUUAGGAACACUAAAAGCCCCUCUGAAGUAGAAUUCUGUAUAUCUAAAAAGGUAUGUUUAUUGGUCUAUGCCCAUGACAUUGGCCAAGGGCAUCACGUGAGAUUUCUGUUUAUCUUUGGAAUGAAAAUAGUUCUUGGUGUAUUAUAAUAGAAAGGGAACCUCAUUUCAGGGAAAGAAAUCUGGUUUCUGGUCCCAGAACUACCACUCACUUGCUGUGCCUCUUUGAGCAAUUCAUUUGCCUUUUCUGGGCAUUUAUUUUCUUUUCUGUCAAAUGAGUAAAAUAAACCAGCUGGUCACCAAGA